ACGAACGCUGGCGGUGCGUCUUAAGCAUGCAAGUCGAACGGUAUUAAUUCUUCGGAAUUAUGAGAGUGGCGAACGGGUGAGUAACACGUAGGUGAUCUACCCUAGGAUUUGGGAUAGCUCAUGGAAACAUGGGGUAAUACCAGAUACGCUCUAAAUCUUAUGAGAAUUAGAGGAAAGGUGCGUUUGCACUGUCCAAGGAUGAGCCUGCGCCAUAUUAGUUUGUUGGUGGGGUAAAAGCUUACCAAGACGACGAUAUGUAGCCGACCUUAGAGGGUGAUCGGCCACACUGGGACUGAGAUACGGCCCAGACUCCUACGGGAGGCAGCAGCUAAGAAUAUUCCGCAAUGGGCGAAAGCCUGACGGAGCGACACCGCGUGGAUGAUGAAGGCCCUUGGGUUGUAAAAUCCUUUUUGUGCUGAGGAAUAAAGUGAGGAGGAAAUGCCUUGCUGAUGACUUUAGGCGCAGAAUAAGCCCCGGCUAAUUACGUGCCAGCAGCCGCGGUAAC
rnacentral:rRNA from 1 species